CCUACGGGAGGCAGCAGUGAGGAAUAUUGGUCAAUGGCCGAGAGGCUGAACCAGCCAAGUCGCGUGAGGGAAGACGGCCCUACGGGUUGUAAACCUCUUUUGUCGGGGAGCAAAGCGAACCACGUGUGGUUCCUUGAGAGUACCCGAAGAAAAAGCAUCGGCUAACUCCGUGCCAGCAGCCGCGGUAAUACGGAGGAUGCGAGCGUUAUCCGGAUUUAUUGGGUUUAAAGGGUGCGCAGGCGGAGGUGCAAGUCAGCGGUCAAAUUGCGGGGCUCAACCCCGUACUGCCGUUGAAACUGCAUUUCUUGAGUGCGCGAGAAGUAUGCGGAAUGCGUGGUGUAGCGGUGAAAUGCAUAGAUAUCACGCAGAACCCCGAUUGCGAAGGCAGCAUACCGGCGCGUAACUGACGCUGAUGCACGAAAGCGUGGGGAUCGAACAGGAUUAGAUACCCCAGUAGUC
rnacentral:rRNA from 1 species